AUGAGAGGGAGAUAUGUGAGGAAGAAGAGGCGGCGCCGCAGCGCCUCACCUCGCAGCGCCUCUUCUUCUUCUACCUCGAGUUGCUUCGCACAACUUUCUCUCUCUUCAAUCUGUAUCAUCUCUCUUGUACUUCCUCUCAAGAACAUAGACAUAUAUGCAAAACUUAAAACAAAUAUGCAGAUACGAAACAUCAAGAUUAGUUCUAAUACAGUCGUCCCUGGCAAGAGGUAUGUUUGCCUACUGCACGGGCUGCGUCGUAAAUUCAUAAUCUUCUCCGGCCCUCGCUGGUGGAAGGAAGGAACUCGGCUCUUGCUCUCGGCCCUCGCUCUUGCCGCAGGCCACUCCGGCCCUGGCGACCACCGCCCCAACCCGCCGUUGACCACUCCGGUCGCGGCGGCCACGCUCUACCCGUGCCAUGGCCACGCCCUCCCCAUCCGGCGGCCGUCCCCGCGCUCUGCGGUGGCUGGAAUCCAGCCCCUCUUCCGCGGGCGCCAGCUCCUCCCGCCGACCACCGCCCUCCCCUCGUGA
rnacentral:rRNA from 1 species